CUGAAACAUGUUCCAUGAUAAGAUGCUAUUCCCUUGUGAAUAACAUGACAAUGCAGAAAUUCAAGCCAAUGAUAUAACCUGUAACAUAAUAGCCAUCGCUGAAUUGAAUUGGCAUAAUCUCCCUGCGCUCAUUGGUUCUCAGCUAAUGGGAAGGUGAGGUCUGACUUCAUUUAUGGGAAUAAACAGAAUAUAUAAGUCCCUGCAGCUGCUGCAGAAUCACCGUCAGAGAAAGUUCUUGCUUCAACAGUGAUUGAACGGAACUGCUUCUGAUAUUCAGAAACAAAAUCAUUUUACUCUACCAGUUCUUUAAGAUCAACAGCAACAUGAACUCUCACGUGCGUCAGAACUACAGCCAUGACAGCGAGGCAGCCAUUAACCGCAUUGUGAACCUUAAAAUGUUUGCGUCGUACACCUACCUAUCCUUGGUAAGUUGAAAAAUAUCUUGAUAUUUGACAGUGUUUAUAGUAGUUUACAUAUUAAACUUGCAAAGUUCCAAGAACACUCUGAUAGAUUUUCUUAAAGGGACACUAUAGUCACCUGAACAACUUCAGCUUAAUGAGGUUGUUCAGGUGAGAACUAUAGCUCCCUGCAGCCUUUCUCAUGUAAACACUGUAUUUUCUGAGAAAAUACUGUGUUUACACUGAAAGCUAGGUACACCUCCUGUUGCAGUCACUCAGAGUGAACCAGAGGAACUUCGGAGUUGAUGGAGGCAUAAUAUGCCUCCAUCCACUCAGAUCUGCUGUCAGCAGAGCACAGGGCAGCACUGUGCACAGCAUCCUGUGAUUCAGUAUCUCCUACCUCUGCAUGCAGAUACUGAACUUUCCUCAUAUAGAUUCAUUGAUUUAAUUCAUCUCUAUGAGGAGAUGCUGAUUGGCCUGGGCUGUGUUUGAAUCAUGCUGGCUCUGCCCCUGAUCUGCCUCCUUCUCAGUCUCAGCCAAUCCUAUGGGGAAGCACUGUGAUUGGAUCAGGCUACUACAUGUCAGCAGACUGCUUGUUUUUCUGAGUCUAACAGCAUGCAGAUUUCCAGCUUCAGGCUUGAAUACAGUAAGAUUUUUACUAUAUUUAUGGAAGUAUGAGGGAUCCAAGGGGGGCUAGAUGGUGGUGUUAACACUAUAGGGUCAGGAAUACAUGUUUGUGUUCCUGACCCUAUAGUGAUCCUUUAAAACAGAUUAAUCAGAAAUAUGUCUAUCUACCCGAUCUAUAUAUGGGUCUAUAUAUAUUUAAUUUUGUCCAUUUUUAUUGUUAGUCUUACUACUUUGACCGUGAUGAUGUGGCUCUCCAUCACGUAGCAGAGUUUUUCAAGGAGCAGAGCCAGGAGGAGCGGGAGCAUGCCGAAAAACUUCUGAAAUACCAAAGCAAGCGCGGAGGGCGGAUCAUUCUGCAGGAUGUGAAGGUAAACAUGAGCAAUGGCAAACAAUAUUUGGGGCAGGGAAAGGUAAUCUGUAUGAAUCUGGGCUUGGUUAUCAAUCACAAAAAAAAGUUUUAUUUAAAAAAAAAAAAAAUACAGAAAAUAAAAGCCUGUCAAAUGUGCCUAUCUGUGGUGAGUUACAAAAUAGUAUAUUCCUUUUUAGCACCAAACAUAGCUCUAUGUGACAUGGGGCCAAGACUUGGGCAGAUUUAUUCAUGACAAGGAGAAUUCAAAGUGAAUUUCACAUUUAAAUCCAAGCACCCCGACAGGUGCCAUAGCGGAAUAAAGAAUUAGAGAAUGUUUCCAGUUCAGCUAUUUUUGCCUUACAUUUGAAGUAUACGUUGAAUUCUCAUUUUACUAAAAAACUUACUUUCAAGGGAAUAAUCUUAAUACUAAACAAAUUACGAAUAUGGAUUAUUAUCCAUAGAAAUAUAACACAUGUGUAUAUAAUGUUUUAGGUACAUAAUGAUUUAAAAAACAGUUUUUACCCAUGUGAGGUUUUAUUCACUAAAUUAUGAAUUGGAGAAAAUCAAGGUGUAAAAUUUGCUGAAAAAUGUUCCAGUUCUGUUAUUUCAGCCUAAAAUGAGCAAUUACUUUUACAAUUAUGUAGAAAUCUGAAUUCUCUAAAUUGUAUCAGGCUAUAUCAUACUUUAGGUCAAAUGAGCAGAUUUGGAAACGUUAAUAAAUACGACACAUUCAAAGGGCAACUAGCACUUUCCUGGAUUUUUAAUAUGGGUGGUCCUCGUUUUGUGACCUACCUGUUUUACCACGGCUCGCACUUAUGAUCAUCUCUCUCGUGGGGUGGUAAGUGCGAGCCGUCGUGGGGAUUAGAGGGAUUCCCUGCUCUUGUGCGUACGUCUAUGUUCGGGGAAAUGUCUCUGAACACAGACAUUCGCACCAGAGCAGGGAACCCUUUAAAUCCCAAGUUCGGGGAAAUUUGCACGAACAUAGAUUAGAUGGCUUCCCUGCUCUGGUGCGUUCGUCUAUGUUUGGGGAAAUUUCCCUGAACAAAGACAAGCGCACCAGAGCAGGGAAACCCUUAACUCCUCACUUACCGAGCAAUUUGUUCUACGACCGGGUCAUAGGAACGGAACCCGGUCGGUAAGUGAGGAUAUAUAUGCACAAAUACGCUUUUUUGAGGCCUGAUCCUAGGGUCACAGGUGCCUGGGUGCAGAAAUUUAUUUGGCACCCCCAGGUGGGCAUGGUCAUCUUGCUAACUGUUGCCAUAAAAACUUGGCAAAUGUUCAGUCCAGGCAUGCAUGUUUCUUUUGUAAUGACUCCAUCACUCCAUUUAUAUGCCCCACCCCUUUUUGUAAUUAGACACACAAUCAGACGCACACACGCAAGGAAAGCAGGUGCCUACUCUGCCUUCACCUAGUAAGAACCACCUCUUGGGCCCCCUGUGACACUCCAUCUGUUCGCUUCUCAUGGCGCAACCCACCUCCUGGCACUGGGCACGCUGCACCAGCUGAGGAUCGGGCCUGGCCCUAGCUAUGCCUGGAAUUAACUGAAUUGUGAUAACAUUUUCUAAAUCUUUAAUAUACAUUUUUGAUACAUGAUUAAGGCUUUACGGCUGAAACAUUGUAUCUUUGUUUUGUCUCCUGGACCAUAAAUAAAUAUACUGUAUUCUUAACGCUGCACUGUGUAGCCUGUGGCUCUAUACUUCUGGUUUUAUAGCACACACAGAACUCCAGUGAAUCAAGAUACUAGUGUGCAGCACUCCACUUGCGAGUUAAAAGAAAUCAUAGCAGCACAAAUGGUUUACAUGCCCCUUUUGUGGGUGGUUACUUCCCAGACCUACCAACAGUCUUGCUUUUGGCUCGACAGGUCUGAUUUUGGGGACCUGUCCCACUGGGGAUCUGACCCCAGAGAGCACAGCGUAAAGCAAUCAUUAAAUGGUUUCAAAGUGUACUUAUCAUGGUUCACAGUUAGAUUUAAAUAAGAGAUGAAAAUUUCACUUAGGCAUUAUGCUAGCAAAAUGCUUAAAAAAUUUGGUCCCCCUCCACUUAUCAAUCAUUUCUAAGCAGAGAUCACUAUGCUGAUGGCAUAAAGGUUUAUGGCAACAAAUGAACAACAAGGUAGAACAGGAGAACCUUCUCAACAGUGGCGCACAUAUAGGGGUCACAGCUGCAAAUGGGCCGUCACUCCAGGGGGCCCAGCCGCCCUGCCGACCCCUGCGACAGGCUGCCCGCUGUCAUGUUUUGCGACCCCGGCCCGUGCAGCAAACUGCCGGAGCCGCCGUUCAAUGGGUCCAUCGGGUGGCACAGGCUGUUAGGGCCACCCGAUGGGUAUGGAUUUCCAGGGGGCCCGGUCAGCGCUGUGGCACUUUAACAGCGCAACUGGGCCCCCUGUGAUGACAUCACACGUUGGGAGGAAAAGACUGUCCUGGUCACUCCUCCCAGCAUACACAGAGCCCACGCGGGAGGAAGCAGAGGAGGGAGUCAUAGUGGGAACUCUGACUCCCAUCAACCUGAGCCACCACUGGACCCCAGGGAAAGUCACCCUACUGCAACUAAAAGGUAGGAAACAGGAGGGUGACUUAAACAUUUUGUAUCUGUGUAUGUAUGUCUGUCUGUCUUUUUGUAUGUAUGUCGUGUGUGUGUGUCUGUAUGUGUGUCUGUCUGUAGGUGUGUAUGUGUCUAUGUAUGUGUCUGUUUGUAUGUAUGUGUGCCUGUUUGUAUGUAUGUGUGUUGUAUGUGUCUGUCUGUAUCUAUGUGUGUGUGUCUCUAUGUAUGUAUGUGUCUCUUAUAUGUGUGUGUGUUUGUGUCUGUCAGGGGGUAGGAAAGGGAGGAGGGGGGGGAGCCCAUUGAUCAGUUUCGCACCGGGGCCCCAUGGAUUGUGUGUACGCCACUGCUUCUCAAUGCUGGUUCUUCUUCAGUCAUCUGUCAGCAAGCAAUUCCAGUGGAACAUAGAAACUGAGUAAUUUAAGACACACACCUAUCUCCUGUUCUGACACUGAUGCACUGCCAGUGAAACCAGCAUUCAAACAUUCAUCAGGUUAGAUUGACCUGCUUGAAAAAGUAUCCCCAAGCAGGAAUAAUCAUGCUAUAGAGGGUUGGGAGCAAAGCGGGACCAGUAAGUGGGUGUUACAAUAGUGUAAAACCAUCAUACCUCUGAACAUGGUCAUGGCAUGCUGGAAACAAGGUAAGAAAAAUAUUUACAGCUAUCAAACAAUUUAGUGUAUCAUUUUCAUUAUUUAUAUUAUUUUACUAUUUAUAUUAUUUUUUAUAUUAUAAUAUUAUUUUACUUUAUUUAUCCAGAAACCAGAACGUGAUGAAUGGGGCAGCACUCUGGAAGCUAUGCAGACAUCUCUGAAUAUGGAAAAGACUGUGAACCAGGCCGUGCUGGAUCUGCACAAGCUAGCAACUGAUAGAAACGACCCCCAUGUAAGUGCUAGUAGCUAAAAUUGCCAUAAUAUGUAGGCAGCUAAACAGACCUGAAAAUGACAUUCCAUCUCGAGUUCUCUGCAGUACAAUUCUAAAUAUGGUCCUGUUUUUAUAUAUAUCUAGCCAACUCCUUGGUUUUGCAACCCUCCCUGUCACAGGUUCCUCAUCCCAGGGCCCUAUUUAGCCUUAUACUGCAGAGAACUCCAGAUGAAAUUUUCUUCCCCAAGUCAGUAGCUAAUUUAGCAGAUAGUUGACUGUUAGAGUAGGACCUGCCAAAGAUGAGGUACAUUAAUGUUGUAGCAGGCUUAUGCAAUGUAUGAUCAUAAAAUGUAACUAAACCCCCAUUGUUUUUUGCCUACAAUAUGUGUUUAAAAAAAUAAAAUAAAUAAUAUCUGUCAGCAAAAAUGUUGCUGUUUAUUAGAUAAGGGAAUGCACUGGAUUUUUAUUUUUAUUGUACUUAUUGGCUCUCAGCAGCACCCUAUUUAUGCAUGUUUAGGUGAGUGCAGCCAGCCCCUUGUUAGGUGGCAUUUGAUGCCUGUAUGAAUUUCUUCUGACUCUCCUAACGUCUAUAUUACAUUUUGUAGACCUGAAUCUGCUGUCUGAUGAUACAAUUGGACUACUUAACCCCUCUAACUUUUCUGGGUGUAGAGGGUGAACAUCUCUCAGACCCACUUUUAAAAGUGUUUAAACCAAAAUACAUAGCAAUGGAUUUCCUACUGCUUUUGGGAAGAUAACCUACAUUGUCAUGAUAGGGGAGAUCCUUACUUGAUGCCUACCUAGGACAUUGUUAUUCAAACCUAUCCUCAGGACCACAGGCUACAUUUUAUACAACUACUGCUAAUGAAAGUGGAAAUGUCAGUGGUUGUGUCAUGGUACUCCCAUGGGAAUAUCUUAAUUCUGGCCUGUUGGUGGGUCCUGAACACAAUUUGGAACAAGAGUGGUUGAGAAAAUUAGUUGAUAGUUUAAGUAUCAAAUAUAUCCAUGCAAAAUAAACAGCCUAGAUGAUAUAUGGGCUCAGUUACUAUAUAUACUACUAUCCAUGCUUUCCAAACUGAGCUUAAGCAUCUUUGGAGAGAGUGGAGACAAACAUAUGGUUUAGGGUUUGAUUGCCAAUCUUGUUGGGUAGAUGUUUACAGUUUUGAACACAACUGUAAGGAGUCUCGUUGCCUAGUUUAUUGGUUCUACCAUUGAGUUUAUGCCCUAACAAUGUUAUCUUUUUACAGUUAUGUGAUUACUUGGAAAGUGAGGAGCUCGAGGAUCAUGUGAAGCGCAUUAAGAAACUUGGCGAUCAUAUCACUAAUCUGAGACGCCUUGGGGUGCCACAGAAUGGCAUGGGAGAGUACCUGUUCGACGAGCACACCUUGCCGUAGAGUAGCCAAGAUCUUAAUCCUCAGAGAGAGAACUUCCAGCUUUCUAUACAUUCCUCCUAAUCCUUCCUCUCUCACAAAUUGUGGUGCUAAUAUGCCUUUCUACUGUCAAUAUGUAGUUGAACUGCAAUUUCCAUUAUGCUUGGUCAUGGACGUUAUAGUUCAACAACUGUUUAAAAUCAAACUGUUUGUUCUAAGCCCUGUGAAAGCAUCCAUCGGUUCUCCCAGUACAAAUUUGGCAGUGGUAAUGGCCUCUCUUUGGAAAAUAAGAAAUGUCUACUUGUCUGUGUGCUGUAGUAUUUAAGAAUAAAGAGAACAUGUCAUUCAAAAUGCAU
rnacentral:lncRNA from 1 species